ACUGUAGAGCUUCCACACAUUUUUAGUUUCUAGAUUAUAGCUUUUUGUCUUAUUAUUUAAAAUACAUAUUCUUCAUAACUUACAUGUUAUAUUUAGGGACUGACAUAUCUUUCCAUCUAAUCGGGAAUAAGAGCUGAAGACAAUUAAAUGGAGAAAGGUGAUCUCAGGAAGCUUAUGGGAAGAAGCAGCAGCAUAGAAAGUGGAAAACAGAAAAGAUUUGUUCCUCAUAUCAGCUGAGCUCAGUAUUUUUUGGAGUUCAAUAAUUGCUGAGGAAACGAACACAUUCAGUGUUUACUAAGUAGCAGAGGUAUCAAAGCAUUGUCCAUUUUUAUUUUACACAAAAUAAAUGCACAGGGGUUUAACUCCAAGUAAUCAUAUCUGAAAAAAAUUUAGGCAUAUUAUAUAUCGAUUCUCAUUUAUAUAUGACUCCUACAUAAAGGUUCAGAGGCCUAAAGGCUUCAGGGUGAAGAGUAUUAACAACAGGAG
rnacentral:lncRNA from 1 species